GUAAACAUGAGGAUAUUUUUAAACUUUUUCCAGCCCCAGCGAUUAGGGCUCUUGAAGCCGGAGGCCCAGAGGUCAGUCUGGCCCUCACCCACAAAGAAAGCAACAGUCUCGGGCCCUCAGAGACCCCACCCCACCCACAUCUACCUACACCCACCCAGGACUCUAGCUGGGGCCUCGGGGCAGAAGUUCUUCCUAGGGUGUCACCUCCAGACACACUGCUGCGGCGGGAGGAUGCGUUUCUAAUGUCCCUGGGAAAUGACAGGACACCCAGAUCUGCUGGGAGCAGAGUUCUCAUAGGGUCCCAGCUGAGCCCUGGAACUCCCCAGACCCCCUCUGCCACUCCAUCUCUGCGUCAGCCCAGCACCUGUGCCCUAUCCGGCUUUGGCCACCAUCUCCACCCUGGGGAGGGGGAGCAUAACCCCCUCCAGCCUGAGGUUGGCGCCAAGGUUUAGGAGCCAGCACAGAAGCCUCUGAGAGCCAUAAGGGUAGAAAAGGUUACCCGGUACUAAACCAGCCAGCCUCGGGGUGAUCUCAUCCACUUCCCAAGAUAAGCCCCCUCCCCCACCCUCUGGCCACUGGCCAACAGGGUAAGUCACGAGGGAGCUGGUGGAAGAGUGUGUGUGAGGGCUGGGGGAAGGAUUUCAACUUGGGGUCACACUGUACAUUCUGUUUUGUGAUCAAUUCCCCCCAACAUUUACAGUAUUGACAAUUAGCAGUUUCCUGUCAGAUAAACUAUAAAGAUCUUCCCCCAUCACUUUUUCUUUUCCUAAUUAUUUCUAAAGUCUGCCAGGAUGGACACAUCAGAAUCUCUUUGUCCAGCCCUUGAGGAGGACAUGUAAACAGUGUCCAGUUUCUCUUUCUUACAAACACCAGUGCCAUAACCAUUUUUGUUCAAAUCCUCUUACGCAAUUGCCUCUCUCUCUCUCUCCCUUUCUCUCUUUCUCUCUCCCUCUCUCUAUUUCUCACUCAGUUGAGAUAAAUUCUGCCUGGUAGCAGGUGGGAGGGCAGGCCUCACUGUGUGCCUGAGUAGUUCUGGGCCCUUCCCCAAGCCAGAGGUGCCAGGCCCAGGGCAGAGGCCAGUCCAGGGCCACAGGGUCAGGACAGUGGACAGGCUAUGGUCUGCUGGACUCUGCCUGCUCGAGGCGGGCUCCCCAAGCUUCCACCUGCUCUUGCCCACCCCCAGCCCCAAGGACUAGGCUGGCCUGGACACAGGGAAAGGCCAUAUACAGGGUAUCACAUGACCCAUGCGUGCACACAGCCCCCAAUCCCAGGCAUAGGCAGAGGUCCCAGCCUCAGGGUGGGGCCCCCACACUCCGUCCAAUUCACAUCUUGCCUAGUGCUCCCCAGCUCUUGCUAGAAUGCUUCCAUAGACCAACAGCUCACUCUCCCUCCUAAGUUGCUGCCCGGCCUUUGGGGAGCAGGUGGAGCACAUGCUUCUUAUCAAAUCAAUACCUAUUCGGUAGAAUCACAUGAUUGCUGAGGAAGGUUUGGAUUCAGACACCAGGGUUUCAAACUCGACUCUGCAUUUACUAUUUUUGUGACCUUGGGCACAACCUUUUACAUGCCCAGGCUCAGUUUCUUCAUCUGUAAAAUGGGUUAAUAAUACUUGAUCAUAGGGUUGCAUGAAGAUUAAAUGAGAUAAUACAUGUAAAGUGCUCAGCAAGGCUCACAGAUGUGACCUAGUUUAUGAUCACAAAUUAUCACAAAUUGAGUCCCUACUAUGUCCAGUUAACAGAGAGACUCCCUCACUGGAAGCAACUCAGAGUGGCUGAAGCACAGAAGUGGUAGAGGUAUGAGAUGGGGUUGAAGAGUGGGCAGGGCCAGGUCACACUCAGCCUUGCACAUCAUGAAGGGAUUGUGACAUUUUUCUGACUCCUUGGAAGCAGGGGAGGAUGGUGGGAGGCAGAAAUGGGAGGAUGUCACUGAAAGCUUUUAUUAUUUUUUUUAAUGAUUUGUUUGUUUGUUUGUUUGUUUGUUUUAGAGACAGGUCUCUAUUGCUCAGGCUGGAGUGCAGUGGCAUGAUCAUAGCUCACUGUAACCUCAAACUCCUGGGUUCAAGCGAUCCUUCUGCCUCAGCCUCCCAAGUGGCUGGAACUACAGGGGUGUGCGACCACUCCUGGCUCAUUUUGUUCAACAUUAUUUUGUUACAACAUUGAUGAAGAAAAAAAUCUAUUUCUGGCUGGGGCUACUGUCUGUGUGGAGUCUGUAGAGGACUUUCUCUGGGUACUCUGGUUUCUUCCCCCAUCCCAAAGAUGUGCAUGUUAGAUUAACUAGCUUGUCUGCAUGCUCCCAGUCUGCAUGAGUGUGAGUGUACUCAAGGCAAUGGCAUCCUGUCUAGGCCUGGUUCCCGCCUGGCGCCCUGAGCUGCUGGGAUAGGCUCCAGCCAUCCAUGACCUUGAACUGGAAUAACUGGAUAAAUAAUUCUAUUACUUGUUUUUAUUAAUCUUUCUUUCUUUCUUUUUUUUUUUUUUUUUUGAGAUGGAGUUUCACUCUUGUUGCCCACGCUGGAGUGCAAUGACACAAUCUUGGCUCACUGCAACCUCCGCCUCCUGGAUUCAAGAAAUUCUCCUGCCUCAGCCUCCUGAGCAGCUGGGAUUACAGGUGCCCACCACCAAGCCCGGCUAAUUUUUGUAUUUUUAGGAGAGACAGGGUUUCGCCAUGUUGGCCAGGCUGGUCUCAAAUCCCUGACCUCAGGUGAUCCACCUUCCCCAGCCUCCCAAAGUGCUGGGAUUACAGGUGUGAGCCACCACACCUGGCCUUGUUUCUAUUAGUCUUUCUUACACGUGUUUCAAUGUUUAAUAUGAGAAGCAUUUGGGUCUUUAUUUAGAAGUCUGAUGAUAUUUCUAUCACCAGAAAUAUGCUGUAGGAACUUAACUCUUGUUUAUGUCAAUUAGCCUAUGACAAAAUUGGUUUCCUUGUAUGUCAUUUUGCUUAAAGCUGCAAUUUCCAAGAACUACAUUAAGUGAGGACAUUAUAUAAAGACUUACUAUAUUCUAUUAGUUGUUGUCAGGCCUCUGAGCUCAAGCUAAGCCAUCAUAUCCCUUGUGACCUGCACCUAUACAUCCAGAUGGCCUGGAGCAACUGAAGAUCCAC
rnacentral:lncRNA from 10 species